AAAAGAACCAAACUGCUGUGGCAUGAGUCAAUGUCCAUGAACUUAAAUGGCACUGAAGUUCUCGGUUUCGGCCUUGUUCUUUGGUGGAAGUACAAGCACAAUCAACAAGCAUUUUUUGAUGUUAAAGCUAGGAGUCUGUUACUUAUCCACUGACUUCCCUCACGCCCACUUCUUAAGGGUUGAAGUGGAAGAACAACCAGAGAUAUCCGAGGCUUAUUCCGUCUCUGCUGUCCCGUUCUUUGUCUUCUUCAAGCACUAGUCACAUGUUAAUGCAGCUGAUUUGUGAUCUGAAGCCCUUGAAAAUGAGUUCGAACAACAUGCAUCUCUAAGGUUUGUACUUGUACUCUUUUCAAUUUUAAUGUUAAUUAUUUUUAGCCUUUUGUAUUUGUUUUUUUAUUGCUUUUCAGUAGCUGAAAUAGAAAAUA